ACUCGCAUCACUUGAAAUAAGAUUGCCAAAUUGUUGGAGGUCUGAUUCUACUACCAAUAACAACAGAUCUCCCCUCGAAGUUUUUCAAAGAUGGCAAAAUCCGUUUGCUCUACCACAGUUGUUCUCGUGGUUGCUUUCCUUCUGAUUGCUUCAUUUGCAACGACAAUGGUUGAAGGAAAAAGCAAAAGCUGUAAGAAGGCGAGCGAAUCCUUUACAACCCCAUGCAACAAUCACCCAGAAUGCGAUAAAAAAAUGCAGAGAAGUGGAGAAAGCACAGUCAGGUGGUCUUUGCCGAAAAGAAGGGGAAGUGAAAAAGUGUUUCUGCUAUAUGUGCUAAAAUUUUGGCUGAAUCUUCACAUCUAGCCUUUUAAUUUCAGUUUCUAAUGUAAAUACUGUGCUUUGCGACUGAAACUACAAGAACUAAGGGCAUCUCCAAGAGACUA